CUACUUCAGAAGGUUUUUAUUUGUGUUCUUUGACUCUUGCAGGACACAGUAACAAAUCGCAUUCCACAGCAAUGGUGCAGCCUUUUGCUCCAAACACAGGGACCUCCCAGACAAGACUGUGGGACUUUACAGAUAGAGACUCUGCUGAAAGACUAAACAGCAAAAGCUCACUCCUGAGGAGAACACCUUCCUUCAAAAUCAAACCAGAGAGAGAGUCUGCAGCCAUUUCCAGAGAUUUUAAGGAAGAUGGGACUGGAGCAACACGAGCCUCUAUCACCACCCUAAGCCUAGAACAAAGUGGUAAUAAAACAAGACUGCUUCCAUCUGUACUAGAAGCAGGAAGAGAAAAAUGACAUUUGCCUCAGUGAAUGCCAGAUCCUUCACCAUUAUAUCUUAACCCAGCCCUCUGGAAAUGUAUUGAUAUUCUCUAAGUUAAUCACUACACUUGGAACUUAUUUUAAUUAUCUAUUAAAUCUAGUAAAGCAGCUAAAUAUAAUUAAACAGGACUGUAUUUGGUAUCCUUUUGUGUAUACAGUGACUCUAUCAUUUUUCAUAUCACCCAAGUGAUAUAUGCUCCAAGUUACCCAAUGGAAGAGCAGAGGGGCCUUUAAGCCACACAGCUCAAGUGAAGUAACUCUGCAAGACAGAAAUGGAGAGCACUGAGCAGAGCACGAGAUGCAAGAUGUGAGUGAACAGCAGCCACCUGCAAGUAGCUUUGCAGAUAUCAACAGAUAAGAUUUAAGAGGGUUGGAUGGUCUGGACAGAAGCAGAAGUCUCAAAGGGAACAUUUGUUAUAUAAUUCCUGAAGUGUUUCGUACUCUCCACAGUUUUUCAGUUUUACAUUAACCAACAUUUCCCUAUUUGCCAAUUCUGUCUGGAUGAGGUUACCAGGAAAAAAAGCCCUGUGCUGUUACUUAUUUUUCCAUGGAAUCUGAAACUAAAACAGUGUAUGAACAAUCAGCCUUUCAGUGCAAAAGGAGAGGACAAGCAGGAUAACAAGAAGGAAGUCUAGUCUCCAGACCAGUCUAUUACGUCUGUUUUUCUCCAUAUGAUCACAUACCCAGUCAUUUCACCCCCUAGUGAACUUCUACAUCAUUGGUAUUUACAUGGUUGAAGAGCAAAGAAUAGCUAAACAAACUUUGGCAGUUCCUGCAACAUCACAAGCCUGGGCUAUAGAUGAGGAGCAAAGGGUCCAGGACAAAAGGUCUGUCCUGACAAAAAGGUUUUCAUCUGACAAAAGGUUUUCAGCUGCCUGGUGCUUCUGUCA
rnacentral:lncRNA from 1 species